rnacentral:lncRNA from 1 species
GGGUGCUUUGCUACUCUCACUCCCAAUCAGGUGGCACUCAGGCUGUGGAGGCAGAUGAGGUAGACAAGGAAAGAAUAAGGCAAUAUGUGAUGCUUCUAGAGCAACUCCCAUCAUCCCUACACAUUGGUCAUGCUAGCUGCAGCUGAUGGGAGCUGGAGUCCCCACCCUCUGUUCUAGACGGGUGGAAGGAACAAGGGCAAGCGACAUGGUCAUUGGUCAGGUCUCCAAGUGGACAGACAAGGAUCCAAAGGACCGGAGGCAGAUGCCAUGGUAUAAUACAGACUUAGCGGUCAGGUUUUAGAGCAGACAAGGUACAGCUUUUCAGCAGCAUCUUUCAAGGAUGAGUUGCUUGGACUGAUGAACCAAAUCUGAAGAAGUGGGUUUGUAGAGCUAGCCUGGCCUGAUUUGGGUCUUCCAAGUCACCUUGUCCAGCUGGACUGAUGAAGCAAAGAGGCGUACCACACAGCAAUUUCUGGGGUGAUUGUCACACUCCACCUGGGCCUUCACCCCGGUAGGGGUUGGUUUUGCCAACCCCUAGGUAUGACUCUGUGGGGGCAACAUCACUCUGUUCCGCCCUGUGUUCAUCCCGUGCAGCACUGUUCCCUUCUGCUGCCAUGCUGACUUUUGGUGAGGACACUGUGUGACUUGGGUGAGGACACUGCCUGAGCCCCUUCUGCCUAGAAUCUUUGUGCCUGCCUAAUUUUGACUAUUCACCUUUUUCCGGCCCAACUGCAUUUACAGCCAGUGCAUGCUCUCUCCCUCUCACUGAGAUCCGAUGCCAUCCAAAUAAAAAGGACACAUUGCAGCUGUGUUCUAGUUCAGUCUUUUGGCGGCUGUUCCUUUCUGUUUGGCUGGGUAUGCAAUGAAUACAGCCUAUAUGCAAGAUACUGUCUUUGAUUUAAUGCCGUUCCUCACUCUCUGCUACUUUAGGCCAGCUUGGGCCUGGGAACACUCUGCCACAAAGCUACCCAGACCAUGCGGGGGAAGAUGGAGUGCUUUGCAAAGCGCUCCUUUGGCUGAUAAAGAAAAGGUGCCGACAGCUUCUAAAACGAAUUGUCUGCAGGUCAUUUCUAGUAGAUGCUUGGCUGUCAGAGGAGAGCAGAAAGAAAAAGGAGAAGUACAGGUCACGCCUUUGGGAUUCUUCAGGGCGUGCCUUAUUUGAGCCUCUAAGGCCAUUUACUACUGCGUCACCAUAACAAUUUCAGUGGAAUAGCUUUGGAGUUGGCGGAGUUGUGGGGUAUAAUCAAGGAAUGAUGUGGGAUGUUGAAGGAGAAGUGUUGAAUGUCUUUGAUACCGAGGGCCAACCCGGCAAAUGCAGUAAUUAAAUGUUAGCAGGGAUUAUUUUUCACCUUGUGGUGUCCCCACAGAACUGGGCUGUAUGAAGGCAGGGUGGCUUGUCAACCCCAAGGCUCUUUACGCCCCAAGUUUUUAAAAUACAGCAAAGCAGGUUGGGCCUUUCUCUAUAGCCAUUGCAGCCAUGAGGGUUGCUCAAGUUGUAAAAUAGAAAGAUGCCACAGAAGCCAAGCCUGCAACAAAGCUUUAUUGAAAAUGGAGACUUGGAGCUGUUCACAUGAAAACAGCUUCCCCCGGGGAACAAGCUCUCCUUAACUUCAGUUCCAUUAAUCAUGUUGCAAGAAUUACUGCUGAAAACACAUUGCUCU